rnacentral:rRNA from 1 species
UACAGAGGGUGCAAGCGUUGUUCGGAAUUACUGGGCGUAAAGGGCUUGUAGGUGGCCAACUAAGUCCGACGUGAAAUCCCUAGGCUUAACCUAGGAACUGCGUCGGAUACUGGAUGGCUUGAAUCCGGGAGAGGGAUGCGGAAUUCCAGGUGUAGCGGUGAAAUGCGUAGAUAUCUGGAGGAACACCGGUGGCGAAGGCGGCAUCCUGGACCGGUAUUGACACUGAAAAGCGAAAGCCAGGGGAGCAAACGGG